CCCCGCGUCUCCUCGGCCUCUGCACACAGCUCGGCCUCAGCUCGCAGCUGCUCGGCCAGGCGGGUGCGCUCCUCCUCCAGCUGCGGGAGGCGCCCCUGGAG